GGGAUAGGAUGGGGGAUUACAGGAUGUGUGAGGGCAUUAUGGGAUAUGCGGGGUAUUAUGGGAUGUGUGGACGGCAUUAUGGAAUAGGAUGGGAUGGGAUGGGGUACUAUGGGAUGUUAUGGGGGAUUAUGGAAUGUCAGGUGAUGGGGUAUUAUGGGAUGGCGGGAUUAUGGGAUGGGGAAGUAUUAUGGGAUGUGGGGGUAUCAUGAAUAGUAGGGACGUUAUGGGGUUAUGGGAAUGUUAUGGGGUUAUGGGAAUGUUAUGGGGUUAUGGGGACGUUAUGGGGUUAUGGGGAAUGUUAUGGGGUUAUGGGGAAUGUUAUGGGGUUAUGGGGAUGUUAUGGGGUUAUGGGGAAUAUUAUGGGGUUAUGGGGACGUUAUGGGAUUAUGGAGAUGUUAUGGGGUUAUGGGGACGUUAUAGGGAUGUUAUGGGGUUAUGGG
rnacentral:lncRNA from 1 species